UCUCCCACAGCCGCACGGCCGCGCCCCUCCCUCCCCCCUCAGCCAUCUCAGCCGCCACCCCCACUAACCCUAGCCGCGCCCUUCUUCCAUCCGUCCUCCUCCCCCUCCCUGGUAUGAGUCAUCCCUCCCCUAUCUCAGGCCGCCCCGAGCUCCUCCUCGUCCUCCAUCCUCACACUCUCCACCCCGAGCACGCCGGAGCAGUUCAGCCAGUACAGAACCCCUCUAUGCAAGAGGAACCCCGUGGCCAUCCAAUAACGGCGACAUGUGCGAGAGCUCGACCUCGAUGAGGAAAUCAGCGGAGUUGGUGCAGCGGCAAAUGCGGGCGAGGUCGGCCAUGGAGGGAGGCUUGCUAACCGGAGCAGUAGGAGCAAGGAGGUCGAGGUGGUUUAGUUUUGCCUUUAUCUCCCCCCUCUUUGUCUCAUGGUUGAUGUUGUUGGUGCAGGCAGGAUCGAGCACACGCCAUAAUAGCAGGAACAAGGAGCUGGAAUUGGUUCAUGGUUUUUCUUUAGUUCCUCUCUCUCUGUGUGUGUGUGUGUGUGUGUUUGUGUGUGUGUGUGCAUACGUGGGUCUUUUUGUCCAUAUAUACUGAACCAUGGAGUUGUUUAGAUGUUUGUCUUUUUGUUCAUGUUCUUCUUUUUGUCUGUGUAGAUAUUUGAUUGUAUUGGUAUGUUCUAAGGCUGGUGGGUAGCUAAGCUUAGGCUGAGUCCUCAUGUUCUAUGUGGAUAACAUACAAAAAUAUAAUCCUAAUUUCUGAAAAUAGAAUGAAUCAUGUAUAUAUCUGUAGGGCAAGACAAGCACGUUAGUUGGAUCUAGCGUAUUGAGAUUGCAGAGGACUCAACACAGGGUUUGUACUUAUAUUCUAUAAAUUCAGUGUCAGGUUUUUGCCUCUGCUUAGUGAUUAUAUAGUACCGCCUUUUGAACUUGCAGAAACUGAAUGCAUAUAAGAAUCAAGGACCUUCACAGUGGAUAUGAUUUUGGUCAUCCACCAAGUCAUCAAGUUGAACACAUCAUCUUGGACAAGCAGAUGCGAAUUUCUGCUAGUGAGCUGGGAGCCAGGGUCAUAUGUGGUGUCCUUCCCUGAAUGAGCACUAUUGAGUUAUCUGCUUCCCUUGAUUAACCCUUCAUUUAGAACUACAAGACAAAGCUUGAAAAAUUGGCCUGUUGUCUUCCUGUUCACAUAAAUCUGCAACCUGGGUGUUACUGAUGUUUCCUCAACCAACUUAUAGUCACUUUUAACUGACAAGUGUAUCAUAACAGGUAUUCUGAUCUAUCUUUUUUGUUAGUUGCAGGUUCAGAAGCGUAGUAAUGAUAUUUGCUAACAGCUAUAUGAAAAGGAGCUGUUAAUAGGUAAAUCCUACCUCCACAUAUACAGUUUGUAGGAGUUUGGAGUACUCUGCGCACCUACCUGUAGCGUGCCAUCACAACCACUUGCACAACAAGAGGUUUGCGCGCCACAUGUAAACUUCCUCUCCUUCCUCCCAGUCUCUAGCCACCCAUUGAGGGCUGGCACAUCAUGCCAAGGAAGCUGCAAAUCCUUUUUGACUUCUGUGAUGUGGUUACCACUACAACACACAAGUAUUGUCCAAAUGUUUCACUAUCUGUUUAUUUUCCUUGGUGCUGGGAUACGAUGAUGAGUAUGAUGAUGCCAUUGGUCCACGUGAUGAUCUUGGUGACACUCAGCUGAAUUCAUCUGUUAGCGGGAGAAAACUCGAUGAUGGUGUUCAUGAGAGCGUAGUGAAGUGAAUGUUGCCUUUGAGAGACACAUCAAAGCAAGUGGAAAUAUUAGUCCAAUUCGAUCCUAGAUGUCACACAUUGCAUGUAUGAAUCAUGGUGGAUUCUAAGAUAUGUUAUUUUGCUAUUUCACUAUAACAUAUAUGUACAUGCUAUUUAAGAUAGCCGAAAGAGGAAAUGAGAAACCUGUCGUAUUUGUUUC